rnacentral:rRNA from 1 species
GACAGAGGAUGCAAGCGUUAUCCGGAAUGAUUGGGCGUAAAGCGUCUGUAGGUGGCUUUUUAAGUCCGCCGUCAAAUCCCAGGGCUCAACCCUGGACAGGCGGUGGAAACUACCAAGCUGGAGUACGGUAGGGGCAGAAAGAAUUUCCGGUGGAGCGGUGAAAUUCGUAGAUAUUCGCAAGAACACCAGUGGCGAAGGCGGCUCACUGGCCCGGAACUGACGCUGAGGUGCGAAAGCGUGGGGAGCAAACAGG